UACGGAGGAGGCAAGCGUUAUCCGGAAUUAUUGGGCGUAAAGCGUCCGUAGGUGGCUCUUCAAGUCUGCUGUCAAAGAGCGGGGCUUAACCCUGCAAAGGCAGUGGAAACUGAAAGGCUAGAGAGCCGUAGGGGUAGAGGGAAUUCCCGGUGUAGCGGUGAAAUGCGUAGAGAUCGGGAAGAACAUCGGUGGCGAAAGCGCUCCACUGGACCGCAACUGACACUCAGGGACGAAAGCUAGGGGAGCGAAUGGG
rnacentral:rRNA from 1 species